rnacentral:rRNA from 1 species
CCUACGGGAGGCUGCAGUGAGGAAUAUUGGUCAAUGGACGCAAGUCUGAACCAGCCAUGCCGCGUGCAGGAUGACGGCUCUAUGAGUUGUAAACUGCUUUUGUACGAGGGUAAACCCCGAUACGUGUAUCGUGUUGAAAGUAUCGUACGAAUAAGGAUCGGCUAACUCCGUGCCAGCAGCCGCGGUAAUACGGAGGAUCCGAGCGUUAUCCGGAUUUAUUGGGUUUAAAGGGUGCGUAGGCGGUUUGAUAAGUUAGAGGGGAAAUGUCGGGGCUCAACCCCGAAACUGCCUCUAAUACUGUUGGACUAGAGAAUAGUUGCGGUAGGCGGAAUGUAUGGUGUAGCGGUGAAAUGCUUAGAGAUCAUACAGAACACCGAUUGCGAAGGCAGCUUACCAAACUAUAUCUGACGUUGAGGCACGAAAGCGUGGGUAGCAAACAGGAUUAGAUACCCCAGUAGUC